rnacentral:rRNA from 1 species
UACGUAGGGUGCGAGCGUUAAUCGGAAUUACUGGGCGUAAAGCGUGCGCAGGCGGUGAUGUAAGACCGAUGUGAAAUCCCCGGGCUUAACCUGGGAACUGCAUUGGUGACUGCAUUGCUGGAGUAUGGCAGAGGGGGGUGGAAUUCCACGUGUAGCAGUGAAAUGCGUAGAGAUGUGGAGGAACACCGAUGGCGAAGGCAGCCCCCUGGACCAAUACUGACGCUCAUGCACGAAAGCGUGGGGAGCAAACAGG